UGGCAGUGGUCCUUCUAAUGCUGAAAAGAAUGCAACUCAGGUUGAUAUUGUUGUACCAAAUGAUACAUUGAGUAAUGCACAAUUAAAGAAAAAAGAGGUCCGCAUAAGAAGUUCAAAGAGACAAAAAUUUGGGUGGGAAGGAAAGCACAAGGGGAGGAAAAAAGGACAAAGCAAAAAUAUAUUGCAUGUACAAGCACCGAAGGUAUAUCAAAAUUCUGAACAAGCACAAGAGGUAAAGGAAACAAGCAAUCCAGCAAGUAUUGACAUUCAGUUCCAUAAAGAAUAUAACACCAUCAAUUCUUUCACUCAACUGUUGACUGGAGCAAGCAGUGAUGAUCUAAAAACUGAAAAUUUCUUUGAGCUGUGAAGCAAGUCAAUGCUAUUUUGUAGUUUAUUGUUGUAUCUUGUUAUUGCUAACUGCAAGGUAGAUGGAGUGUUCAGUGAAAACAAUAUCAAGUGGAUCAAUACUUGUAUUCACUUUCUUUCAUAUCCAGUUUAAACAAU